UACGUAGGGUGCGAGCGUUGUCCGGAAUUAUUGGGCGUAAAGAGCUCGUAGGCGGCCUGUCGCGUCGGAUGUGAAAGCCCGGGGCUUAACCCCGGGUCUGCAUUCGAUACGGGCGGGCUAGAGUGUGGUAGGGGAGAUCGGAAUUCCUGGUGUAGCGGUGAAAUGCGCAGAUAUCGGGAGGAACACCGGUGGCGAAGGCGGUUCUCUGGGCCUUACCUGGCGCUGAGGGGCGAAAGCGUGGGGAGCGAACAGG
rnacentral:rRNA from 1 species